rnacentral:rRNA from 1 species
UACGUAGGGUGCAAGCGUUGUCCGGAAUUAUUGGGCGUAAAGAGCUCGUAAGCUGUUCGAUAAGUCGGGUGUGAAACCUCCAGGCUCAACCUGGAGACGCCACCCGAUACUGUCAUGACUAGAGUCCGGUAGGGGAGCGUGGAAUUCCUGGUGUAGCGGUGAAAUGCGCAGAUAUCAGGAGGAACACCAGCGGCGAAGGCGGCGCUCUGGGCCGGUACUGACGCUGAGGAGCGAAAGCGUGGGUAGCAAACAGG